CUUGUAAUCACCAUUAUUACCAUUCUUACAACCAUAGAGUGUUGUGCUAACUAUCUACUUUGUGCAGUAUCCAUCAGAGGGAUCGAAUACGCCUGGAGCUGGAGGUUCGCACUUUGGUACUCCACCUCACUUUGGUUAAGGUGGUAAUCAAGUGUUGAGUCCGUUACGGCCUGCUACAUUUUCUUUUUGUUUGGACUAUGUUUUGCUAUCUUGUCACGACAAUUUGUCAUGUUUGUGUCACUUGCGACGGUUUAUGUGAUGUUUGUGUAA